GACGAACGCUGGCGGCGUGCCUAAUACAUGCAAGUCGAACGCUGAAGCGAGGAGCUUGCUCUUCUUGGGUGAGUUGCGGACGGGUGAUUAACGCGUAGGUAACCUGCCUGGUAGCGGGGGAUAACUAUUGGAAACGAUAGCUAAUACCGCAUAAGAUGGAUUAUCGCAUGAUACUUCAGUGAAAGGUGCAAAUGCAUCACUACCAGCUGGACCUGCGUUGUAUUUGCUAGGUGGUGGGGUAACGGCCCAUCAAGGCGACGAUACAGAGCCGGCCUGGUCGGGUGAAUGGCCACACUGGGACUUGGGCAAGGCCCAAAACUCUAAGGGAGGGAGCAGGAGGGAAACUUCGGCAAAGGACGGAAGGCUGACCGAGCAACGCCGGGGGAGGGGAGAAGGGUUUCGGAUCGGAAAGCUCCGUUGUAAGAGAAGAACGAGUGGGAGAGUGGAAAGUUCACACUGUGACGGUAUCUUACCAGAAAGGGACGGCUAACUACGUG
rnacentral:rRNA from 1 species